UUUAAAUAAUAAUACGAGCUCGUGUGCUUUAGCUGAUCAAGCGCCUCAAAAGAUCAAUCGAAUAGAUCGCGCAGCAUGUUUCAAGGUUUUAUGGACAGCGAACGGAAAUGAUCAAUCUUGAAGUUGAUAGAAAACUUUUAAGGAAAUUUAAAUCAAAAUAGGUUAAUGCCACUAUUGAUUCUCAAAAAAUUAUGGACUUUGAAUAAAAUGUUAGCAAUGCCUUUAAUUUUGAUUGUAACUUGCAUAAAAUUAAUAAACGAUUUUAUUUCCAUCUUUAAGA